rnacentral:misc_RNA from 1 species
UCCCAAUUAUCUCGGGCAGUCCUCUGUGACAUGUAAAACACAGAGCAAGGGUUGCGUUCGUUACCCGAAUUAACGGUACGUCUCAAGACACGAACUGACGACAACCAUGCAGCACCUGCCCAACUGUCUUGCGAAGUCCUACUUUCAUAGGAUGGUCAGUUGGGUUUCUAGUCCUGGUAAGGUUCUUCGUUUGUUGUCGAAUUAAGCCACAUGGUCCACCGCUUGUGUGAGUCCCCGUCUAUUCCUUUGAGUUUUAGCCUUGCGGCCGUACUUCCCAGGCGGAUUACUUAACGCGUUAGCUUCGCCACUGGCAGGGUCGACACUGCCAAUAGCCAGUAAUCAAUGUUUACAGCGUGGACUA